CGGCCCCUUCCUCCUGCAGCAGGCGUGUGCGGCCGCGGAGCCGCGCUGCGCGGUCCCCAUGGCCCCGAAUCCCGAAGCUAAGAUCUCAGAAAGCCAGGAUGUGCCCUGCUGUCGAGGGCAGGGUGACCCUAUCGGGAACCUACAGUCUUCCAUGACUCAACUCUCACUCACCGUGAAGCUGGCAUGUAAUGCAGAGAAGCAUGGGACUGACCCAUCUCUCCGCCCCUGAGCUGAGAUCCCAUGGCCAUACAACUCUGUGGCUCCAUGUCCCCCCCAUUCCCAGAUCCGCCCUGGCCCCAUGACCCCUAACCUUGCACGUGACUGUCCUGGACUUUGACCCCUGUGACUUGUCCCCUCCUGCACCUCUGGUCUGGCUCCCUUGGGGGUCUUGCUGGUUUGGACCUCCCCAGGAAAAUGUGGGGAAGGCUCUGGCCCCUCCUCCUCGGCGUCCUUGCAGCCACAGCAGUCCCUGGGCCCUCCCUGCGGAGACCGUCCCUAGAGCUAGAUGCUACCCCAAGGAUGACCAUCUCCUAUGAAGAGCUCUCUGGGACCCGGUACUUUCAGGCCCAAGCACAGAACUACUCAACACUACUCCUGGAGGAGGCCUCAGCGAGACUGCUGGUGGGAGCUCGAGGUGCCCUGUUCUCGCUCAGCGCCCAAGACAUAGGAGACGGGGCUCACAAAGAGAUCCACUGGGAAGCCUCCCCAGAGAUGCAAAGCAAAUGUCAUCAGAAAGGGAAGAACAACCUGACUGAGUGCUUCAACCAUGUGCGCUUUCUGCAGCGGCUCAAUGCCACUCACCUCUACGCAUGUGGGACCCAUGCCUUCCAGCCCCUGUGCGCUGCCAUUGAUGCUGAGGCCUUCACCUUGCCGAGCAGCUUCGAGGAGGGGAAGGAGAAGUGCCCUUAUGACCCAGCCCGGGGCUUCACAGGCCUCGUCAUUGAUGGGGGCCUCUACACAGCCACACGGUAUGAAUUCCGGAGCAUUCCUGACAUCCGCCGGAGCCGCCACCCACAUGCACUAAGAACCGAGGAAGCACCUGUGCACUGGCUCAAUGAUGCUGAGUUUGUCUUCUCCGUGCUGGUGCGAGAGAGUGAGGCCAGUGUGGUGGGCGACGAUGACAAGGUUUAUUACUUCUUCACGGAGCGUGCUGCUGCCGAGGAGGGCUCCAGCAGCUUCAGCCCAAGCCGGAGCAGUCACCGAGUGGCCCGUGUGGCCCGUGUUUGCAAGGGGGAUCUGGGAGGGAAGAAGAUCCUGCAGAAGAAGUGGACGUCCUUCCUGAAGGCGCGCCUCAUCUGCCACAUCCCCCAGUAUGAGAAGCUGCGUGGGGUCUGCAGUCUGGAUGCUGAGCGUGCGGCCCACACCCGCUUCUAUGCGGCCUUCUCACUGACCACACAGUGGAAGACCCUGGAGGCCUCAGCCAUCUGCCGCUUUGACCUGGCUGAGGUGCAGGCUGUCUUCUCAGGACCCUACAUGGAAUACCAGGAUGGUGCCCGCCGCUGGGGCCGCUACGAGGGCGGAGUCCCCGAGCCCCGUCCUGGCUCGUGCAUCACAGAUCCGCUGCGCAGCCGGGGCUUCAACUCAUCCCAAGACUUGCCGUCCCUGGUGCUGGACUUCGUGAAGCUGCAUCCACUGAUGGCGCGGCCUGUGGUGCCCACACGUGGACGGCCCCUGCUGCUUAAGCGCAAUGUGCGCUACACACACCUCACCGCGAUACCAGUUUCCACUCCUGCUGGGCUCACCUAUGAUCUGCUCUUUCUGGGCACAGCUGAUGGCUGGAUCCACAAGGCUGUGGUCCUGGGCCCCGGCGUGCACAUUAUUGAGGAGACGCAAGUAUUCAGGGAGCCCCAGUCAGUGGACAAUCUCGUCAUCUCCCCGAGGCAGCACAGCCUGUAUGUGGGCACCCCUAGCGGAGUCAUCCAGCUACCAUUGUCCACCUGCUUCCGCUACCAGUCCUGCUAUGACUGCAUCCUAGCCCGUGACCCCUACUGCAGCUGGAACCCCAGCAACCAUUCCUGCGUGGCAACCACCACCACCACAGCAAACAGAACAUCACUGAUACAGGACAUAGAGAGGGGAAAUCGAGGCUGUGAAGGCAGCAGCCGUACAGGGCCACUACCAACCCUGAAGACCCGCUCUGUGCUCCAGGGUGACAAUGUCCUCCUGCCCUGUGACCAGCCAUCCAACCUGGCCCGGGCAUUGUGGCUACUCAAUGGCAGCAGGAGCCUGAGUGACGGGCAGGAUGGCUACCGUGUGGGUGUCGAUGGGCUGCUAGUGACAGACACACAGCCUGAGCACAGUGGCAGCUAUGGCUGCUUUGCUGAGGAGAAUGGUUUGCGAACCCUGCUGGCCUCCUAUAGCCUCACUGUCCGGCCAGCCACUCCUGCCCCAGCUCCACAAGCCCCUGCCACAAAAGAGGCCCGCCUGGCCCCCGACGUGAAGCUGCUCUACGUGCUUGCCAUCGCGGCCCUCGGUGGCCUCUGCCUCAUCCUGGCCUUCUCCCUCCUGUAUGUGGCUUGCCUGCGCAGAGGUGGACGGGGCCACCGCCGUAAAUACUCACUGGGCCGGGCUGGCCGGGCUGGGGGCUCAGCUGUGCAGCUGCAGACAGUCUCAGGCCAGUGUCCUGGAGAGGAAGAUGAAGGUGAUGAAGGAGAGGGGGCCGGAGGCCUGGAGGGAAGCUGCCUCCAGAUCAUCCCUGGAGAAGGCGCCCCAGCCCCUCCGCCCCCACCACCUCCGCCCCCACCGGCCGAGCUGACUAACGGGCUGGUGGCACUGCCCAGCCGGCUCCGAAGGAUGAACGGCAGCAGCUACGUGCUCCUGAGGCAGAGCGGCGACGGAGUGCCGACGGGGCCCUGCUCCUUUGCAGAGGAGCUCAGCCGCAUCCUGGAGAAGAGGAAGCACACACAGCUGGUGGAGCAGUUAGAUGAGAGCGCCGUCUGAGUCUGGCCUCCCUGGCAUGGCCGCCCUCUGCACCUCCUCCCAACUCUGUUGUCUCCAUAGGGUUACCCGUUAGGCCCAGCCAGAGCCCCUUCCUCAGCCUCCAAGACCCACGUAGGAGCAGCCAGGCCCAUGAUGCUCCUGAGUCUUUGUGAGUCGGCUUACCCAUCCCCCUCGGUCCCACAGAAGAGUGACAAAAAGACCUCUGGGCAUGUUCCUUCCCAUGCAUCUGUGGUACAUGUGCUAACAUUUCCACCCUGUGCACCUCUGAGCCUCCCCUUGCUGCCGGACUGUCGGUUGGGUUAGGUCCAUGGACAUUUCAAAGGGAGACUCCCCCUCCCAUUAGCUGUCCUUGGAGAGCCUGCCCUGGACGGGUGACCACACUGCACUCAAUGAGCCAGCCUUCCCAGGGACCAAGCAUUGCUGCCCCUAGACCAGAGCAGGGGAAAGAACUGUCUCACCUGGCACACAACGCCCGUUCUUGGAACUAUGCAAAGGGCAGAGGCUGGGAGUUUGGAUGCGUGGCUCCCACUCCUGUCCUACUCACCGGGCCACUUCCAAGGUCCAGGGCCGCUGAAGCCCCAGGCCCACCUGGGACAAUCACGCUAGACUGAGCUCCCUCAUUGCCUUUGGGUGAGGAUGACUGUUAUUUUUGUAGCUGCGAACGUGGAAUCCCACGAGUUUUUACUGCCCUUCACCCAACCUCUCCCGCCUCCACCCACAAUGAAUGUAUUUAUUGUGAGAACGAAUGAAUGCUCUUCCUUAGGAAUGCCCUCACUCAGCCCCGGGUGGGUGGGACAGGCAUGUGACAGAGGGGAGCCUGGGCUCAGCUCCUGACUGAAGUUGGUUAAUAAACACCCU